GAUUCCAUGGUGUAGCGGUCAGCACUUCGGAUUCUGACUUUUCCUCCCUCCUCUCUUCCGAGAAUGGGGGACGUCUUUCCGGGACCCCGGUUUGAUUCCGGGUAGGACCU